GUGUUUGGUUAAACCCUUGCAGUGGUUCACCUUCGAAUGUUGUUGCCGGAAAUGAAUUCAGUGGCGGUGAGACUUGCGAAGCAUCUCCGAGUCUCUAGUCUGACCUCAUCUUCUCUCGGUGGUGUGACGAGAAGCGGAACGUUAUGGUACUCGACGUCUCCAUCUGGAGGUGAAGAUGAUCAGCCUUCACAUGAUAAUGGUGAACCGAAGAACGAAGAAUUAGAUGAAGGGUUUGAUGAGCUUCUUGAUGGAAGGCCCGAGCUACAACUGCAAGGUGUGGAUCCCAAAAGGGGUUGGGGAUUUCGGGGUGUGCACAAGGCAAUUAUUUGUGGCAAAGUUGGUCAGGCCCCUGUACAGAAGAUAUUGAGGAAUGGUAAAAAUGUAACCAUCUUUACAGUUGGGACAGGGGGCAUGUUUGAUCAGAGAAUUGGACCAAAGGAUUUGCCAAAGCCUGCUCAAUGGCAUCGGAUUGCUGUGCAUAAUGACAUGCUGGGGGCCUAUUCAGUACAAAAACUCUUUAAAAACUCUUCAGUCUAUAUUGAAGGUGACAUUGAAACUAGAGUUUAUAAUGAUAGCAUCAAUGGUGAAGUUAAAAGCAUUCCAGAGAUAUGUGUUCGCCGUGAUGGGAGAAUUCGCCUCAUCAAGAGUGGAGAGAGCAUUGACAAAACUUCCUUGGAUGAAUUGCGUGAAGGGUUGUUUUAGAGGAAAUUUGACCAUCUAACGGAAGCAUCUACUUCUACUGACAGGAGGUCGAUCAAAAUUCUAUUAUGACUGGUAUUUCUGCCACGGACUACGCAUCCGUCAAGCACUGAAGAACUUGGCAUUUCCUCUACGACCCUGCAGUGUAGGACGGUAUCAUACCCGGAGCUAAUGUAUUUCGUGAAACUCUGUCAUAGCAAAUACUAAAAUGCAGGAGACAGGUUUGUUUAUUACCUGCUUGUAACAAUCCAAAUCCAGCACUACUUUUUUGUCCACAAUUAAAACCUUAUUGUAGACGAGUUAUUUAUUGACUAUAAUUUAUUUCUUCCAAUAUACUUCAUUUCAUUGGUUA